AGACUUUUCUUCCAGCAAUUAACUCUCUCUCUCUCUCUCUCACGUCUCACUUUCAAGAAAAGAAAAAGUCUCUCUCUCUCUCUUCUCUCACUUCUCUGUUACGAAAGAAAAUUCCUCUUUUUCUAGUGAUUAGGGCUUGGGUUCUUGAAGGCUUUUUGUUGAAAAUAUUACUAGAAAACUCAAGUAAUGCUAUAGAUACAUACAUUCCUCUGUGGAGCACGAUUUAUUCUGUGUUAUGUGUCUUAUGCGAAGUGAUUUUAGAGAAGGGCAGUUCGGUUUUUUGAGAUCUUGGUGAUCUCGGUUGGUUCCUUGGUGGAAUACAAUUUAUUUUUGUGUUUUCUCUUAAAAGAUGGGUGAUUCUUUGAUGGCAGAAACUGUGAUGUAAUAGUUGUGUAAUCUAGUCAGUGAUUUCUUCGUGGAAUCGUGUCUGCCGUGUUGAUUCUCAUAAGAUAAGUCUUAGUGACUUGAUGCUUGUAAUAAUUUUAGAACAUUAUUGUAUAUUUGCUGCCUAUUUUUGGGGUUUUAUAGUGCAACCGAACCUUAUCCAUUUUAAUGGAUGCUCAACAAGGGAUUAGGCGUUAGAAGUGGUCGUCGAACCUGUGGGGCUUCGGCCAAAAAAUCCUUGUGUUCAUUUUUAUUUCCUGCACUUUAUUUUCAGUUUUUGAUUAUGCUUUUGGAAUCUUGGUUAAUAUUUGUAUCCCUCGACUUUUCAUAUAGCACUCCGAGAUCAUAAAGAUUCAAGCAGCUCUCACAAGGAACAACUCAUUAAGAAAGAGAAAAUCCCUUUGGAUGUAGAUGGAAGAUUUCAAACAGAAAAACAUGUGAUGCUCUCUAAACUGCCCUGGUGCUCUCUUUGCAAAUGGGGAUGCUAUGUAAGGACCUAAAUGGCCGUAAACAGUGGCUUAACAGUCAAAGCUAGGGGCUGGGACACACAGCAACUAUCUCGACAUUCAUCAACGAAGGUUGCAGUUGAUCAGCAAUCAGGCAUUGGAAUUAGAAGAAACUCAUUUAAGACAUGUUGUCGAGCAUCUGUUAUGCAGUUAUAUUUUCCAAUUUCUACAACACAUUGUAUAUGUUCUGAACUAGAAAAUUGAACCCAUAUCUACCCCGACAAAAUUUGGCAAAGAAGUUCUCUUGGAGGCUACAAGUGUGUUAGUCAUUGUUAUUACGGAAAUGCUUAUUGCUGGGCUUAAACAAUUGAUGUUACGGAUGAAUCCAUUCGUCCCAUUCAAAUGAGGCAGUAAUAGCAUCUAACUAAAGAAGCAAUAGUGUCGCUAUGCAGUUGAUCUCAUAAAUUUGUGAGGGUGAAGCAAUUGUCGUAGCUAAAGUAGAAGAAACGGAUCCAGGUGAAAUAGAAGCAUCCAAGAAGCCUAAACGCUUUGCUCGGGCCUAAUUAUGCUAAAUGAUUGUCAUUCAAAAUGGCUUGCCAAAGUUGACUGAAAAUCCAUUUCUAUGCUAACAUGCCACCAUCAUAGCUCUGUCUCCAUCAAAUUAAUGCUAACCCAAUGGACAAAAUGAGAACCUUAGUAUAUUACUGGGAUUGCUUCUUGCUAAUGUCGGCGAUCGCUCUAGCAACCUUGUUUGGAGGUCUGGAAUGCAGUGCUACCUCAAAAAAGGUCACUAAGAGGACCAUGAAAUGCUUCACCUACCUUGACGGUGGUUGUUAAUUGCUUCUUGCUAUCUGAGCUUGCAACUAUUCUGUUUGCAACUUUUAGUCGGUGGAAACUGUUUCUGUGGUUACCUAGAUAAUUGCUGCUGAAGGCUUUAGUUUUCUACAGCAGCGAGCAGAAGCCCACAUAUCUCCAUAUCGAUUUAAAAUUUGGAAUAGUGCUACAUGUAUACUUUCGUGUACAUAAUCAUUGAUAUCUCUCUCACAUAAAAGAGAGACCACCUCCUCCAUGUGAGGGAGUGCGGGGGCAGACGCACAUAUUUUACAUUAGGAGAUUACAAUCUAUUUUUAGAAAAAAC
rnacentral:lncRNA from 1 species